GACGAAUGCUGGCGGCGUGCUUAACACAUGCAAGUCGAACGGUAAGGCCCUUCGGGGUACACGAGUGGCGAACGGGUGAGUAACACGUGGGUGAUCUGCCCUGCACUUCGGGCUAAGCCUGGGAAACUGGGUCUAAAUACGGAUAGGACCACUGCCUGCAUGGGAGGUGGGGGAAAGCGUUGGGGGUGUGAGAUGGGCCCGCGGCCUAUUAGCUUGUUGGUGGGGUGAUGGCCUACCGAGGCGACGACGGGUAACCGACCUGAGCGGGGGUCCGCCCACACUAGGACUAAGAGACGGCCCAGACUCCUACGGGGGGCAGCAGUGGGAAAUAUUGCACAGUGGGCGCAAGCCUGAUGCAGCGACGUCGCGGGAGGGAUGACGGCCUUCGGGUUGUAAACCUCUAUCAGCACCGACGAAGCGCAAGUGACGGUAGGUGCAGAAGAAGGACCGGCCAACUACGUGCCAGCAGCCGCCGUAA
rnacentral:rRNA from 1 species